UUCUCUGGAGAGUCUCUAACGAGCGCCGAAGGUGUACCUCGGCGGCAGAAGCUGAAGACAUCGGCUUCUACCGUCCGCCGACAAUCUCUCAGGCAAAAGGACAGAGCGGG
rnacentral:ncRNA from 1 species